GUUUAUGCAAUGGUUUCUUACAACGCAAAAAGUUGACACCGAGGAAAAUGAAUCUUAAGAGACCUACGACAACUAUUAAAAAACAAGAUUAGAGCAGCUGAGUUGUGUCCUUUCAUAACUAAUCCGAGCAGAUCUUUCACAGGGUAAAACGAAGAUGAAUAAUCUAAAAGCUAGCACAAGUUACCCGGGAAGUAUGCAAGGCACGGCUGCCCCUAAACUCGUUGCCCUCAGCCAGGCCUUGCCUGAACCCGCUGCUUCGCUCCACCUCCACUCUGAGCAGUCGUUGCAGCCAAGCAAGCGUGGCUCCUCCUCCGCUGUCGCAAACGCCCAACCCUCUCUCCAAGGCCACCGCCCCCUGCUUCCUCCUCACACUCUAGGGCGUGAGUUGGGAGCUCCUCUCCCAUAGCAAUACACACCCUGACUAAUCUGUAGAUAACAAAACAAUACUCCAUAGCAGUGCACAUAAUCUAUGUGUAAAUCAUCAAGUUUACGGCAUUAGUGUGAACCCACCUAGUUUUCAACUCGCCAAGCAGUCAUCACAAUUCUUGCAGGCAUAAUGAUGAGCAAAGACAGAAAGGAAUCCAAGCAGACAAUGAAUCCUGUGACAAUUAGCUGCAGGAUUGAUCACAAUCAAAUAUCUCCCUGUUAUUGCAGAACAUGCUACAUCUAGAGUUACUAAACUGAAUCAUUUAGCUAUCUUUUGAAUGCGGUAAUCGAAUUCAUCCUUUUGAAGGUUCAAAGGAAUUGUCUAAUACAUUAUUUUUGUUAAUUUAUUAAGUACUCCCAUAAUCAUACCACUUGUAUCUAUCCUUAUCUUAACAAGGAUACGAAUUUAAUCAUAUUCAUUUCAGUUAAAAUAUGUGGUGAUAACAUGGUUCCAGAAAUAUUACAGUAACUGAUGCAUAUUGGAUUUGUCUCAAGCAAUGCUGGCAAACUAUUCCAAAUAGUUUAGAAUGGCCUGAAAUUUGAAAUAAUUAGAAUGACCCUAAAAUUACAAAAAAAAUAUCAAAUAUAUAGGGUACAAAGAAGGGAACAUAUUUGCAAGUGAGAUAUGAAGUAUCUAAAUGGUGAAUUGUUAUGAUGCUCGAUUUCUACAGUAUCACAUAGUUGAAAAGAGGUGUAAACGCAUACAUUGAACUAAUUUAGUGUGCAAUAGGAAAUCUGACUAAAAGUGGUUUUCAUCUAUGGCCACUACAAAACAACAAUUGUUAGGAGCUGGACAGUUAAAAAGAAAUGCAAAUCCACAUGCUGGUAAUGGUAUCUUUUAAAGGUUUUCAUAAAAAAUAAAUGAACAGAGUACCUUAGCGGUUUUAAUUAUUUGGUUCGACUUUCUGACCUACUAUUUCCACCCAUUUGUAUGCUGGUUAUGAUAUCUUUUAAAAGUUUCCAUACAAAAAUGAGCAAAGUACCUCACUGGUUUUAAUUAUUUGGUUCGACUUUCUAAGUUACUAUUUCCACCCAUUUGUAUCGUCUUGCACAAGUCGUUUGAUGAGCUUAUGGAGAAUCAGUGCAUCCUUAUUUUCUUACUUAGAAAAUGCAGGUUAUGAUAUGAUUAUCUUCAGGUUUUCUAACAAUCUUUUAUAUGUUCCAACUAAAACCAUGGUGCCAGUCUCAUGAUCCUCCAAAUUUGGCCGGGCGCAAAAUCAGCGAACUUAUAAUCAACACUAAUGAAACAACAUCACAACAUGAAAGAGAUGUGCAAAAAACUAAAAUACUAUGUGCUGAAAUCUAAACGAACAGAAAUCUAUACCUCUAAGCAUUUUGUUGUUCUCCUUGAUGUACUUGUCCUGUCCCAGUCCAGCGACUCGUCCUUCUCCAGUUUCUUCACAACACCAUUUGCCUUCCGUUGAGGUAAAGCUUAUGAAAUGUCAGAUGGUCCAUUUCAGAUGAUAUUGACAAACUACGACAUGUUAAUUCCAUAUAAGAAAAUGCUACUGGUUGUAGGAACCAAAUUGCAGUACCAAACUCUCACCUAGAUUCGAGAUCAUUAGAUGAGAUAAAUCACAAGAAGAGAAAUUUAUAACACAGCAUCAACAAAAUUUUGUAGCAACAGAGCCUACACCUGUAUAUCAUGAAAACAGAAGCAAAUCACCUCAGGCCAUCUUCUAAUAGGUACCUGCAGACCCAUCACUCCUCACUGUCUUCUUCUUGAUUUUAUAGCUGACCCUGCUCACCAAAUAGCGGCCAUACCUUUGAUUUUAGUAUCUUAUCAAAUUAUUGCAAAGUACUAACGAUCUAUACCAGAUACAGAACCAGUCUAUUUAUGAACAUAUAGAAGUAGACGGUUACCUGAUUUGUCCCUCAAGAUCACCGGGGAGGGACGGCGACAAGAAAGUCUUCAAUGAUGC
rnacentral:lncRNA from 1 species